rnacentral:sRNA from 1 species
UUGGCAUCACCAGGGAGCAGUCAGGCAAAUAUGAGUGCAAAGCUGCCAAUGAGGUCUCCUCGGCGGAUGUCAAACAAGUCAAGGUCACUGUGAACUAUCCUCCCACUAUCACAGAAUCCAAGAGCAAUGAAGCCACCACAGGACGACAAGCUUCACUCAAAUGUGAGGCCUCGGCAGUGCCUGCACCUGACUUUGAGUGGUACCGGGAUGACACUAGGAUAAAUAGUGCCAAUGGCCUUGAGAUUAAGAGCACGGAGGGCCAGUCUUCCCUGACGGUGACCAACGUCACUGAGGAGCACUACGGCAACUACACCUGUGUGGCUGCCAACAAGCUGGGGGUCACCAAUGCCAGCCUAGUCCUUUUCAGUAAGUAUGCCAAAGCAGGGCCCAACUUGAUGGAAUUAAAUUGACUUUUCACAUGAAAAACGUGAAAACCAUUCCCUUAGCUAUUAAAAAUUCACUUAAAAACAAAUAAGGAUAUAUGCACUGAAACAAAAAUACAGGGUUCUCAACUCCAGUGCAUAGCAGAGAUUUAUAAAUGGAACCACUUCUCUCUAUAGUCUUUCUUACUUCUGAUAACUGCCUUGUUGUUUGUUUUCCUUCGUUUUUGUUUUUUGUUUUUUCCUGGUUAGUUAAAUGA